UAGCGAGUUCCACGUAUCUGAUUCAGGGAGCCAGUCCUUCAUGGCAUGGGCCUUUACCUGAUGAGCCAUCUUGCAGACCUUGCUAGAUUAAUAUCAUCAAAUAAGGUACAGUUUAUUUCAUAAAGUAUCCAGUUCUGGACCCUGAAUUCUCUGAAUCUUUAAUGCACAAGACUGUCUCUCUCCAUGUCAUAGAAGUCACGUUGCUGUCUCGGCAUAAAGGUCUCCUGCAGCGUGCCAGACUCCUGCAGUAAAACAACCUGGGUGUCUUAAAUUCCAAAUGCAAGACCGCAGGCACGCUGACAGAAUCAUGGGAGUGAACUAUGAUUACCUGGCGUGCUGUGCACUGCAUGCUGACAAGCAUCGGAAAGGUUCUCCGUUCUUCUGGGUGAUAACGAUGCCGGGAAGAGGAAGCCAGGGAUCUGUCAGCGAGCUUCCUGAUUGGGGUCCCUGCUCAAAGCAGGAAUGGAGUUAGCACCCCAUCCCUAGUCCCCUAGGCUGGGUUGGUUAGUGCUGAUUACCAGCUUGUGCUCUCGGUCCUCUCCAGAGCAACCCGUGCCCAUCUGAGCACUCUCGGCCCUCCUCACUAAGAGUGAAAAAAGGCACGGUUAAAAAUUGAAAAAAAAAAAAAAAAA
ensembl:antisense